rnacentral:rRNA from 1 species
AGCAGCCGCGGUAAUUCCAGCUCCAAUAGCGUAUAUUAAAGUUGUUGCAGUUAAAAAGCUCGUAGUUGAACUUCGGGGUUUACCCAUUGGUCAGGCUUAAUUGUCUGUACUGGUGAGAUAAAUCUCUACCUUCUGAGGAACUUUCAUGCCAUUUAUUUGGUGUGAUGGGAAAUCAGGACUGUUACUUUGAAAAAAUUAGAGUGUUUAAAGCAGGCUAACGUCUGAAUACAUUAGCAUGGAAUAAUGAAAUAGGACGGACUGAUUCUAUUUCGUUGGUUUCUAGGAUCACCGUAAUGAUUAAUAGGGAUAGUUGGGGGCAUUAGUAUUCAAUUGUCAGAGGUGAAAUUCUUGGAUUUAUUGAAGACUAACUACUGCGAAAGCAUUUGCCAAGGAUGUUUUCAUUAAUCAAGAACGAAAGUUAGGGGAUCGAAGACGAUCAGAUACCGUCGUAGUCUUAACCAUAAACUAUGCCGACUAGGGAUCGGAUGAUGUAAUUUUUUAAUGA